UAGGGAAUAUUGGACAAUGGGUGAGAGCCUGAUCCAGCCAUGCCGCGUGCAGGAAGAAGGCGUUAUGCGUUGUAAACUGCUUUUGCCAGGGGAUAAAAAGACCGUGCGCGGUUAAUUGAAGGUACCUGGUGAAUAAGCCACGGCUAACUACGUGCCAGCAGCCGCGGUAAUACGUAGGUGGCAAGCGUUGUCCGGAUUUAUUGGGUUUAAAGGGUGCGUAGGUGGUUUAUUAAGUCAGUGGUGAAAGACGGUCGCUCAACGAUUGCAGUGCCAUUGAUACUGGUAGACUUGAGUAUGAUUGAGGUAGCUGGAAUGGAUAGUGUAGCGGUGAAAUGCAUAGAUAUUAUCCAGAACACCAAUUGCGUAGGCAAGUUACUAAGUCAUAACUGACGCUGAGGCACGAAAGUGUGGGUAUCAAACAGGAUUAGAUACCCCAGUAGUCCCUGAGCGGGCUGGCAAGGCGCAU
rnacentral:rRNA from 1 species